AGAGUUUGAUCAUGGCUCAGAUUGAACGCUGGCGGCAGGCCUAACACAUGCAAGUCGAGCGGAUGAAGGGAGCUUGCUCCUGGAUUCAGCGGCGGACGGGUGAGUAAUGCCUAGGAAUCUGCCUGGUAGUGGGGGAUAACGUCCGGAAACGGGCGCUAAUACCGCAUACGUCCUGAGGGAGAAAGUGGGGGAUCUUCGGACCUCACGCUAUCAGAUGAGCCUAGGUCGGAUUAGCUAGUUGGUGGGGUAAAGGCCUACCAAGGCGACGAUCCGUAACUGGUCUGAGAGGAUGAUCAGUCACACUGGAACUGAGACACGGUCCAGACUCCUACGGGAGGCAGCAGUGGGGAAUAUUGGACAAUGGGCGAAAGCCUGAUCCAGCCAUGCCGCGUGUGUGAAGAAGGUCUUCGGGUUGUAAAGCACUUUAAGUUGGGAGGAAGGGCAGUAAGUUAAUACCUUGCUGUUUUGACGUUACCAACAGAAUAAGCACCGGCUAACUUCGUGCCAGCAGCCGCGGUAAUACGAAGGGUGCAAGCGUUAAUCGGAAUUACUGGGCGUAAAGCGCGCGUAGGUGGUUCAGCAAGUUGGAUGUGAAAUCCCCGGGCUCAACCUGGGAACUGCAUCCAAAACUACUGAGCUAGAGUACGGUAGAGGGUGGUGGAAUUUCCUGUGUAGCGGUGAAAUGCGUAGAUAUAGGAAGGAACACCAGUGGCGAAGGCGACCACCUGGACUGAUACUGACACUGUGGUGCGAAAGCGUGGGGAGCAAACAGGAUUAGAUACCCUGGUAGUCCACGCCGUAAACGAUGUCGACUAGCCGUUGGGACCCUUGAGAUCUUAGUGGCGCAGCUAACGCGAUAAGUCGACCGCCUGGGGAGUACGGCCGCAAGGUUAAAACUCAAAUGAAUUGACGGGGGCCCGCACAAGCGGUGGAGCAUGUGGUUUAAUUCGAAGCAACGCGAAGAACCUUACCUGGCCUUGACAUGCUGAGAACUUUCCAGAGAUGGAUUGGUGCCUUCGGGAACUCAGACACAGGUGCUGCAUGGCUGUCGUCAGCUCGUGUCGUGAGAUGUUGGGUUAAGUCCCGUAACGAGCGCAACCCUUGUCCUUAGUUACCAGCACCUCGGGUGGGCACUCUAAGGAGACUGCCGGUGACAAACCGGAGGAAGGUGGGGGUGACGUCAAGUCAUCAUGGCCCUUACGGCCAGGGCUACACACGCGCUACAAUGGUCGGUACAAAGGGUUGCCAAGCCGCGAGGUGGAGCUAAUCCCAUAAAACCGAUCGUAGUCCGGAUCGCAGUCUGCAACUCGACUGCGUGAAGUCGGAAUCGCUAGUAAUCGUGAAUCAGAAUGUCACGGUGAAUACGUUCCCGGGCCUUGUACACACCGCCCGUCACACCAUGGGAGUGGGUUGCUCCAGAAGUAGCUAGUCUAACCGCAAGGGGGACGGUUACCACGGAGUGAUUCAUGACUGGGGUGAAGUCGUAACAAGGUA
rnacentral:rRNA from 1 species